GAACAAUUCCCAGCUGAAAGAACUGUGAGUAUCACCAGCUUCUUUCAGUACAUCCUCAAAAAUGGACCUUCUGUGGUGGAAAAAAGAUCUCCAAAGUGGGGUUUUUGAUCUGUGCCUCAGGUUUGUUGUGCCCUGGCAUGCUGUAGGGCCAGCUUCCAAUUGGACCCUUCCAAAUAUCACUAGGAGCAUCUGUAUGGCCAUUUGUCACCAAGAAAAUCCAGUCCAAGACACCAGCAACCCCAGCAGCAAUCCCCAGGAAAAGCACAGAGUGUGGCCCACGUUCCACAGUCUCUUCCAGCACAUCUCCACUAAGAAAUUCCCAUCAAAGCUACAGCAGGGAAGGGCCAUGCAGCCAGGCUCCCAUCCCAGCCACCUCCCAGCCUGCAGCAUCCCUCCCCAGCCCUGCCUGGGGGGAAUCCCAAGACUGCCACAGCUUCCUGCUCACUUCCUCCACUUUGGGGAGAAAUUGUAG
rnacentral:lncRNA from 1 species